GCAGUGUUCUGGGGAGCGAGUGGAACACACACACCUACCGGAGCGAAUCCAAGUGAAAACAGUGUGGGAGCCCUGCGGAGCUCUGCUGGAAAGAAAGCGCGUUCCUCCCCAAGCUCUGGCCUGGUGUCCGCAGCUACUGAGAGUGACACUUUUCCCCCCAGCGUCUGCGUACUUUAAGUGGUUCCAACCAGUUAAACCAGCCUGGGCUGCUGACCCACCCCGCCUCUGGGCGGAGCACCUUGCUGGCCUUCUUUGGGCGGAGAUCUUCCUUUGGAGAAUUCUUGCCUGGGGGUUUGGAGAAAGGAGGCUUCUGGGGCCAGGGCUGGGCAAUCCGCAGGACCCCUGAAGUGUGUUGACUUGCGGGAAACUGCUGGCUCCCACCCACUUGCCUCCGCAGUUAGCAAUCCAUACCCGAGUUAAAGCCGCACAGCAUCACGUUCAGCUUACAAAUAGAAACAGCUGCGUAUCCUCCAGAAGUCCCCCACGAAGGACGGAAAACGUGUUGGCUGGUGCAUACUGUAAUAAACAGCACUCCAUGGAAUUAUUCUGGGUUUAUGACAUUGGCAGUCAGAAGAGAGAUGAGAUUUCUAGUGUCUGCUUCUUCACUGAUCCAUCGUGUGCUACACUCCCAAGCCAUCUUUGCUCAAAUAUGACAAGUCCAUCCCCUUGUGCAAAAGAGUCACUCCCAGUGGAACACUGAGGUCCUAGAGGGACCUUUCCACAACCCCUGUAGCAAUAAAACAGCCUCCAUGAGAAGAUGGCCUGUGAGUACGCCAGUUAAAUUACUCCUUCCCGCUGGCAGUUCUGAUUUGGUCAAGGGAUAAGCACUGCCUGAGCGGGGCUUUAUGGAGCCUUCCCUGGAAUUGACAUAUGGGAUAAUGAGGUGGGGAAAGAGGCUUUUUUUUUUUUUUUUAACUGAGUAAUUUACGUGUAACAUCACGUGACUCGUUCACCGUGGAAGUGAAUAAGGCUGAAAGCAGAGAAGUGGGGGACACAGCAAGGGAGAGGGAAAAGCAAGAGUGAAGACUGACUUCCUUCUGAGCCAUAGUUUCUGCAGAGCCUUUAAGUGCCGCGUUUACGUGAGCCAAUCCAGGAGUAAUCUAUGCACACUUUUUUUUAUUAUUUAUUUGUGCUAAUGGAGGUGCAAAUAAAGAGCAUAUUUAUUGGCUGUUUCUCAGCAGUCUUCCCUCCCCCUUAAGGAACACCACAUAACCAUUUCCGCUGGUAACUGUUUUAGAACUAGGCAUCAUGUCCAACCAGAGCCAAUAACCCACAGAGACAGACCGAGGCUUCCACUAAACCGAAGCUUCCUCUCUGUUCUGGUGCAGUGAAGUACUUGAGGUCUGCAAAAGGAGGAACCAUUUUUGUCUCCUAUCAGAGAAAAGCUAAACAGAAGAGAACUCAGGGAGAGGAUGAAGCUAAUAAUGUCAAACAAAUGCAAUGUGUUCCGGGACAGAAGGUAGGCAGGUCUAUUUGCUGCCCGUUAUAAAAAGUUUGGUUUUGUUUGUUUGUUUGUUUGUUUGUUUGUUUUUCAGUUCUACAGAUUGAACCUAGGGCCUUAGCAAUGCUAGGCAAACACUGGGCUACAGCUCUAGCACAAGACUUCCGGAUCCAAACAUUCUUCAGCUGUGAUGCAAACCUUUUGCCUGUGCAACAUUCAUCUGAACUGACUUGCAUCGCCCCCACGGGACUGAGGAUAAGGAGAGCCGAUGUGAACAUAAAACUUGUUGCUCUACACCUACGCUGCGACCCUUUAAUUCAGUCCCUCAUGGUGUGGCAACCCGAACCAGAACAUUCUUUUCAUUGCUACUUCAUAGCUGUAAUUUUGCUACUGUUACGAUUUAUAAUGUAAAUAUAUGUUUUUCUGUGGUGUUAAGUGACCCCUGUGAAAAGGUCGUUUGAUUCCAGGGGGUGGUGACCCACAGUUUGAGAACCACUGUUCUACAAGGGAAAAGGUGCUAGCCCUGUCCCAGAAGUCUGAUAACCUCCAUUAACACCCAUGAUCUUUGGCAGGCU
rnacentral:lncRNA from 1 species